AAGAGACCGCCAAGAGGCAUGCAAGAAGAGGACUACUCCAACCACGCAGCCCUGCUCCUCUUUUCGACUGCGCUAUAAAACCCUGUGGCAACCACCUCUCACCGUUCUCUCCGCUGUUAUCCUUUCCUUCAUCGCUAGGGUUUGAUUUGGUGCUCGCCCCGUUGCCUUCGUUUGCGGAAAACCUAGGGCCUUCUCCGGCCAUGGACGCCCAGAGAGCACUCCUCGAUGAACUCAUGGGGGCAGCUCGAAAUCUCACGGAGGAGGAGAAGAAAGGGUACAAGGAGAUCCGCUGGGACGAUAGGGAGGUAUGUGGUUCGUUCAUGGUGCGAUUCUGCCCGCACGAUCUUUUUGUGAACACGAAGAGCGAUCUUGGACCUUGCCCUAAAAUCCAUGAUCUGAAGCUCAAAGAGAGUUUUGAGAAGUCUCCUAGACAUGAUUCCUAUGUCCCCAAGUUUGAAGCAGAGCUUGCACAAUUUUGUGAGAAACUGGUGAUGGACUUGGACAGGAAAGUCAAGCGUGGUCGUGAGCGGCUAGCACAGGAGGUAGAAGUACCUCCUUCUCCUCCAAUCUUGGCUGAGAAAUCUGAGCAGCUUUCAGUGCUAGAAGAGAAAAUAAAGAAACUAUUAGAGCAAGUGGAGGCGCUUGGUGAAUCUGGCAAGGUUGAUGAAGCUGAGGCACUAAUGAGAAAGGUGGAUAUGUUGAAUGCUGAGAAGACAGCCUUGACCCAGCAAUCAUCUAAUGACAACGUGAUGAUGCUUCCACAAGAGAAGAAGAUGGCACUUUGUGAGAUUUGCGGCUCAUUUUUGGUAGCGAAUGAUGCUCUCGAGAGGACCCAGUCUCAUGUAACUGGGAAGCAGCAUGUUGGUUAUGGGAUGGUGAGAGAUUUUCUCAGUGAGUUCAAGGCUGCGAAGGAGAAGGCAAGAGAAGAAGAGAAACUAGCAAGGGAGAAGGAAGCAGAAGAACGAAGAAAAAGGAGGGAGGAGUAUGAGCAUAGUGUUAGGGGGAAUGGUAGAGAGAGGUAUGCAGAGCGGGAUCGUGACCAUGAUCGGUACCGAGACCGGAAUUUUGGAAGUCAAAGAUCUCAUGAGUGGAGUGAAAGAGGGAGCAGGGAUGGAGCGAGAGGAUCGGAUUGGAGGCGUGGCCACCAUAGAAAUGGAAGGGAGUGGGACAGGGAGAGGUAUCAGGACAGAAAUGGGGAUAUACCACAGGAUAGGACUCAAGGAAGGAGCAGAUCACGUUCUCCUGUCAGGCAUGGGUAUAGGAGGUCAUCAAGAAGCCCAGUUCGACCAUAUUAACUAGUGGUGUGGAUAAUUUUCCAAGUUCUAUGACUGAAGAGGUAGCUUAUUUUGUCUCUUUCUUCUUAUAUGCACUUCAAGUGCUUACGUUGAAUACCAUCAUGGUUAAAACUCUGCUGAUAUUCUAACAGCUCUGUUGAAAUCAUACCAUCUUCCUAUUAAAGGAAAACAUUUGAGAUGACAGAUCCAAGUCAUAACAUGAAUGAUGGGGAUUCCAUGGAAGGCAAUAAUUUUUUUAAUCCGGAUAUAUGAAGGUAAUACAAGAUCUCCAUUUUCUUUUUUUUAUUAAAAAAAGUGAUUUACUGCUAUGGUAAGAUUACCUUUGUUGAUACGUAGUCAUAACCUUGGAAACAAAUAUUGCAAUAAUUCAUGAAAAGUCAUGAUAGUAUGUGAUGCAAUGUGAAGGGUGAAAGCGAUUCAAUUGUUAGGAUUAAACUUCAGAGGUCAAAACAUAAAUUGGAAAGUUCUCUUGGAGAAUUUUUAUUGAUAUGUCAAAAGGCAAUCCCUUGAUAUAAUGUCUUAGAAGCAUAUAAAGGACAUGACUCCUGAUUGAGCAUUAUACCCAUUAUGAAAUCAUAUUGGAAAUAAAUUCAUGAAUAAGGAAAUAUGCUAGAAUUACUCAAAUACAAAUACAGAAAUCCGGCUAAACUUUGAUACCGCGAAAAAUUUAUGUGAAAAUCUGAUGGCUUGAUGUGAAUUGGUGAGGUUUUCUAUUCUUGUACAAAAAGGUUAUGACGAGCUCUAGUGUGCAGAAGAGGUGAUGCCCAGUUCAGGGAGGUCCUGUGCCACUAUCCAUCAGGGCAUAAUUAACCUUGAAUAGCAGGGCUGAUGAUUUGUAUCCAAAUGUUAAUACAUGUCAAGCUUACCCUGGACAUGCAUGAAAAAUAGUUCCGGAAGUUAAACUUAUGAUAGUAUGGCUUCAGGUUUCUGAAACAUUUAUAUUGUGACUGCGACUGACAUUAGUCGUGUUGUUGCUGCUGUAGUUCUAUCCUAGAACAGAAAGUGAGGAGUUUAAGCAAAAAGCCUCUGCCAUUAUAGACACUGCAUCUAUAGGAUCCUCCAUGCUCGGAAUUCUCUUAUGAAGCAUUGCAGCCACAAUAAUCUGAAAAAUCUUGAAGCUCCUCGACAAAUUCAAACACAAGCAAACCUGUAACCUCCAUUGUGUGAAAGAGGGGAAACUGCUCAUGGAGAGUUUCAAAGGGAAAGGUGUGAAUGCUAGAAGUCCCAUUUGACAAAAGCAAAAAUCAGCCAGUGAUUUCAAUCAGCAGCCCUCAAACAAUACAUAUUGUUGUCCUUCAGAAUUCAUCUCAUUGAGCACUAGAUAUGCAUGAUGCUGAUUCCUAUGUAAUGUCAAAAAAAUACUCCCAAGUACUAGCACCAAUAGUGGCACCUCCUUUGAAGCAAAUUUUGCUUCUACAUUUGGGACCUCCAGUGGAGUCCAACACAUUUUUUGACAGGGUUUCCCAUUUAAGCUUCGAUUUACUUCCCUGGGUGAAUCCCGCUGAUCUAGAUACAAAGACAAUGCAAAUGGCCCCAACUUGAUCUAAAAGAAUCAUGCAACCAAUAUGAGUAGGUCGCGUAGGGGAUCCAGCUACCCUGCAACUUGGAAAUGAGCAAACACACCGAAGGGCAGAAACUGAAUAUAUGCAUAUUUAAUGGAUACAAUUAUCGAGAACAAAGGGUGAUGUAAACUAAAUAUCAGGAAGUUAUAACUGGAAGAUGGCGGAGCUGGGCUCGUGAUUCGGGAUGAACAUGGCCGUGUUCUCUAUGCUGGAGCCAGGAUCUUCGAGUCCUGUUUUGCGCCCGAGGCUGAACUCCGCGCAACUUGGCGUGCAAUAGCUAUGGCUGUACACCGCUUGAACCUCCGCAAAAUUUAGUCACUGAAUUAAUUUCUUGAAGAAUAUAAUUAUCAUCCAA